rnacentral:rRNA from 1 species
GAUGAACGCUAGCUACAGGCUUAACACAUGCAAGUCGAGGGACCGGCGCCCGGGUGAUAAACACGUAUCCAACAUGACCUUGACUCGGGGAUAGCCUGUCGAAAGAAAGAUUAAUACCCGAUAUAAAGGAUGGGGAUGCGUUCCAUUAGGUUGAUGGUGAGGUAACGGCUCACCAAGACUUCGAUGGAUAGGGGUUCUGAGAGGAAGUUCCCCCACAUUGGAGCUGAGGCCCUGUCCACACUCCUACGGGAGGCAGCAGUGAGGAAUAUAGGUCACUGGGCGCUAGCCUGACCCAGCCAAGUAGCGUGAAGGAUGAAGGCUUAUGGGUCGUAAACUUCUUUUAUAUAAGAAUAUGUAUUAUAUGAAUAAGGAUCGGCUAACUCCGUGCCAGCAGCCGCGGUAAUUC